rnacentral:rRNA from 1 species
AGAGUUUGAUCCUGGCUCAGGAUAAACGCUGGCGGCGUGCCUAACACAUGCAAGUCGAACGCUCUCGCUUCGGUGAGAGAGUGGCGGACGGGUGAGUAACACGUGGGUGAUCUAGCUCCGGGUGAGGGAUACCGGCGAGAAAUCGCCGACAAGCCCGCAUAAGUUUGCUCUGGUAGAGCAGAGGAAAGAAAACGGAAACG